rnacentral:rRNA from 1 species
AACUGUAAGCUCUCACUUAUAGCUUUUUCUGCUCCAUGAUACUUAAAUAGCCGCAGUACCCUGACUGUGCAAAGGUAGCAUAAUCAGUUGACUUAUAAUUGAAGUCUGGCAUGAACGAACAUACGGGUAGCCCCUGUCUCUAAGCGACUAAAAUGAAGUUGGUCAUGAAGUGCAAAUACUUCAUAAAUUAAAAUAGACGAGAAGACCCUUGAAACUUUCUAAUUUUGUUGGGGCAACAGAGUAACAGUAAAUUUACUUUUUGGACACGGCGUUAAAAGGAAGAAUAAGUUACUCUAGGGAUAACAGCAUAAUUUUUAAAAGUUUGUGACCUCGAUGUUGGACUAGGUAUGGACGUUUCUAGAAGGCACGUACUAGCGCUCUGUUCGAGCAUUAACACCUACAU